CAUUAGCUGACAUUGAUAUAUCCCUUCUAAGGUUUUAUGCUCUCAUCGAUUAAAACCAUUUUGUCACUAUCCGAACUUGGAGGAAGCUUUUAGAAAGAAAAUAACUGGGCACAAGCCAAAUUAAACUUAGAACAAAUCAGCUAAGACCAUUUAAGCUGGUGUGGAGUUGAAGCUGUAGACAAAUUAAACUUAAUUUUUGGAAAACUUAGUUUUGUUACGAAAACAUGCAGUCACUUUCACUACCAAUGGUCAUAUCUCAAAAUAUACUCUAGAGAUUCUAGAAGAAAAAAGGAUGUCAAGUGUUAAGCCUAUGGACACACCAAUGGAUNCAUUUNUCAAACUUGUACUAGACCAAGGAGAAUCAUAUUCUAAACAUGGGAGAUACAGACAGUUAGUAAGUAUUAGAAUAAGCUUUCUUAAGAAGUUGUUUUGAGUUGUGCCUAGAAUCCUAGAGAUGUCUUUACUUGUUUUCUACUCUACUCUCUUUCACUGUAUCUCAGAUUAAUCUANANUUUCUAUAUAAAUAUUGAGAACCUAAGAGAGACUUGCACAAGCUUCUCUAAGAUAUCUGCUCUCUCUUUUUNUUUUUCUCAAAUACAUACAAGUGCUUAUUUGGUGGAGCAGUUUCAUGNGCUUAGAAUAGAGAAGCCUUUAAUUUAAACCUGAAUAAAAAAAAUAAAUAGCUAUAAGUGCAGCAGACAAUCUUUUUAUUGGUAUUCAAUGUUUCAUUAAAUUUAUCAUACANCAAAUAUAAUAAAAACCACAAAGCAAUUAGAUAAACUUACUGGUGCACGUAUAGCAAUUUUUCCCACAGACAAGUUUAGAUCUGGCAGUUCCCGGAUGCAAUUUUUAUCUUUUGACUGACCUGUGUUUUCUACAUUGUCAAGACUACUUGAGGAUUUCCCAGGUUGGGAUUUUGAAUGUGCAGAUAAAUUUUCAGAACACGGGUGAUAAAUUAACUAUUCUGUUCUUAUUAAUGUUUUUCAGAACAGGAAGUUCCAGCAGUUUCAAGCCCNACAAUUUGUAAUCAUCGAAGUAUGCCGUAGUCUGUUUUGAUUGGAGAGCAUUUUUGUUUUAGGGUCUUUCAUUUUGUUAUUAGUAAUGCUUUNCNGUGUAUUAGUAUCUUUCUCUUGUUAUUGUGAAUACUUCUAAUUUGUCUGAUAUGAUCGAAACCUUGCUGACUGAGGCUCGUUAUCAGCUGUAACAUGAAUACCUGUCCCACCUGGGGAAUUCAUCCAGACAUGUUGCUUUGAGGGAAAAGUCUAUAACUGACAUUUUUAUUUUGUAUACUUCAAAGUUCGGAGCAGCUUUCUCUCGAGAAAUUGUGACCGCUCUGCAUGAUCUUGUAUAACGUCUACAACAACAUUUGUAAGUUGUUUUGUGCUGUUUAGUUUCUGACAUUUAUUUAAUAUAGUAAUGGUAAUGAAUAUACUGAAUUUUCUUAUUUUUCAAAAGUUAUCUUUAAACUUAUUUAAGUUGUAUAUUGUUAAAUAUACGUAUAUUCAUUGCCAUUAUUAAUCAUACUAAGGAGGUGACUGAUCAAAGCAUAUUAAGUGCAGUGAUGAAUGUGUGAACGAUUAUACUUUUUACUUUUAUUUAUAGUUAUGGAUUUUUUUUUGGGUUUAAUCAUAUUUUAAUAAAUAUUAGUAGAUUGAUUUGUAAUUAUAUUGACUAAUUAUUAAUAUGAUUUUUAUUUUGUAAUCGGUCAGUUUUCUUAAAUCCACCUGCAUCUUUAAAUUUAUCACNCGUGUUCUUAGAUUGAGACACUUCAGUCUUCUGUUUAUCAGCACCUUCUGCAUCAAGAGGAUCAUUAUUUGAUACUUUUGAACAGACAGGGGGGUCCGAAACUGGUGUAGCAUCAACAAUUUUAUUUUUCAAACUAAUUCCAGAGACAUCCAUUUGCUUCUGAAAUUUCAGGUCUUCAUAAUGUUCACUAGGUACGCCAACGUUAUUUGAGGAACUGAGCAUAUUUUUCACAGGUAAUGAUGAAGUCUUCACAAC
rnacentral:lncRNA from 1 species